rnacentral:rRNA from 1 species
UGCUUAACACAUGCAAGUCGAACGAUGAACCACUUCGGUGGGGAUUAGUGGCGAACGGGGAGUAACACGUGGGCAAUCUGCCCUGCACUCUGGGACAAGCCCUGGAAACGGGGUCUAAUACCGGAUACGACGCGCUCAGGCAUCUGAUGCGCGUGGAAAGCUCCGGCGGUGCAGGAUGAGCCCGCGGCCUAUCAGCUUGUUGGUGAGGUAACGGCUCACCAAGGCGACGACGGGUAGCGGCCUGAGAGGGCGACCGGCCACACUGGGACUGAGACACGGCCCAGACUCCUACGGGAGGCAGCAGUGGGGAAUAUUGCACAAUGGGCGAAAGCCUGAUGCAGCGACGCCGCGUGAGGGAUGACGGCCUUCGGGUUGUAAACCUCUUUCAGCAGGGAAGAAGCGAAAGUGACGGUACCUCAGAAGAAGCGCCGGCUAACUACGUGCCAGCAGCCGCGGUAAUACGUAGGGCGCGAGCGUUGUCCGGAAUUAUUGGGCGUAAAGAGCUCGUAGGCGGCUUGUCGCGUCGGUUGUGAAAGCCCGGGGCUUAACCCCGGGUCUGCAGUCGAUACGGGCAGGCUAGAGUUCGGUAGGGGAGAUCGGAAUUCCUGGUGUAGCGGUGAAAUGCGCAGAUAUCAGGAGGAACACCGGUGGCGAAGGAUCUCUGGGCCGAUACUGACGCUGAGGAGCGAAAGCGUGGGGAGCGAACAGGAUUAGAUACCCUGGUAGUCCACGCCGUAAACGGUGGGCACUAGGUGUGGGCAACAUUCCACGUUGUCCGUGCCGCAGCUAACGCAUUAAGUGCCCCGCCUGGGGAGUACGGCCGCAAGGCUAAACUCAAAGGAAUUGACGGGGGCCCGCACAAGCGGCGGAGCAUGUGGCUUAAUUCGACGCAACGCGAAGAACCUUACCAAGGCUUGACAUACACCGGAAAACUCUGGAGACAGGGUCCCCCUUGUGGUCGGUGUACAGGUGGUGCAUGGCUGUCGUCAGCUCGUGUCGUGAGAUGUUGGGUGUCCCGCAACGAGCGCAACCCUUGUCCCGUGUUGCCAGC